GGGCCUAUAGCUCAGUUGGUAGAGCAGUCGGCUCAUAACCGAUCGGUCACAGGUUCGAGUCCUGUUGGGCCCACCA
rnacentral:tRNA from 21 species